GUAGGGAAUAUUGCGCAAUGGGGGCAACCCUGACGCAGCAACUCCACGUGUGGGAUGAAGCAUUUCGGUGUGUAAACCACUGUCGAGAGGGAAUAAUUCGGCCUUUCGGGGCCGUUGAAUGUACCUUUAAAGGAAGCACCGGCAAACUUCGUGCCAGCAGCCGCGGUAAUACGAGGGGUGCAAGCGUUGUUCGGAAUCACUGGGCGUAAAGGGAGCGUAGGCGGGCCGCCAAGCGUUCUGUGCAAUCCCGGGGCCCAACCCCGGACCCGCAGAGCGAACUGGCGUCCUUGAGUGGUUCAGAGGCCGGCGGAAUUCCUGGUGUAGCGGUGGAAUGCGUAGAUAUCAGGAAGAACACCGAUGGCGAAGGCAGCCGGCUGGGGACCCACUGACGCUGAGGCUCGAAAGCGUGGGAAGCAAACAGGAUUAGAAACCCUAGUAGUCC
rnacentral:rRNA from 1 species